GCAGAGGAAAAGAAACUAACAAAGAUUCCCCUAGUAAUGGCGAGUGAAGCGGGAGUAGCUCACAUUGUGAAUCUGUAGCAGAAUUGUGGUUUGUAGAUGCUUGCACUAUGUAGGUUGGAUGAUGUCCCUUGGAAAAGGGCAGUACAGAGGGUGAGACUCCUGUUUAUCUGGCUAAUAGAGUAUGUUUCAAUGAGUUGAGUUGUUUGGGAAUGCAGCUCUAAGUGGGUGGUAAAUUCCAUCUAAAGCUAAAUAUUGCUGGCAAACUGAUAGUGCACAAGUACCAUGAGGGAAAGAUGCAAAGCCGCGCGAAAGCGCUGUUAAAGAGUACCUGAAAUUGCUGAAAAUGAAGUGAAGGUAACCAGUGAAAGUGUGGUCAUAAUUCCCUAUCUGCUUGCAAGUAGGGCGCUGUGUCCAGCCUUGCCAAUAGAUAUUGUGAACUGCAAGAAAUAUGUAGGAGUUGACUCUUUCAAUGA
rnacentral:rRNA from 1 species